AGGCCAGUGAACAAAUUUCAACUGAUCACCCAACUCUACAAGACUGCAGCAUAUGUUGGAAGCUGCUGUUCAUCCUGUGUCCAACUUUUGCUGUUCUGUCCUCUCUACUUAUCUCCCUUCUUGUUCAUCGCCUCUGCCAGAAAACAGAUGAUCAGCCCAGAUUUCAAACCAGUGGGCAAACAAGAAGGAAUCAGGGUGGGCCAUUUAUAUGGAUACACCGUAAUAACAUGGGAAUGGGUGGUGAUAUUAAAGUCCAAACAAAGAGAAACUUGUAAAUAACUCAUGAAAGAAUAAAGCUACUUUGAAACCAAGCACACCAUUGUUUUUCUUGUGACAUUACCAAUAAGUUUGAUGUGUCACAUGGCCCUCUUCCUAUUGAAUAAACAAAAGUUGUAUCCAAGAUGGCCGACUUCUAAAUGGCCACCAUGGUCACCACCCAUCUUGAGGAUUUUGCCCCCUCUCAUAUACUAAUGUGC
ensembl:lncRNA